CGAGUGUUAGCGGCUGGGGUUGGAGCACUCGAAGUUUGACCAAUGAUUAUGCGUCCACUGGCAAUUUCCUCUUUGUCAGCGGAGUUUUCAAUCUGUUUCUGAGCUUCAAAGAAGAACAUCACAUCUCUAAGCUGCUCUCUGACUGUCAGCUAAGGGUUCCGGAGUCUGUGCGUAGCGACAGACUGGACACGAGGUAUCACCCCAUUUGACCAAGCAGCUGGAGUGAAAAGCGUGGUUGCAUAAUAUGGUCAAAAUUCCAUCCACGCUUUCAUCCAUUCUUUCCAGGCAGACCGGACAAGAUGGUAGCUCUGUAUGACCUGCGAGUGGCAAACCACCAUCUCCUACUUCAACCCGGGAGACGAACACCAUGUGACAAACAAUUUCAGGUUCUAAAGAAUUAUAUGGAGCUCCGUUAAAUGUCUCGUAAAACUCACUUGCUGCCACCUGAAAUAAUUAAUGAUAUUUGGGCAUGAUAUAAUGUCUUGAUAAAACCUUUGAAUCAAAGAAAAACUUAUAACACAUAGAUCUUGAAAAAUGCAAAAUUUGUUCAAGGUUAAAACAUUGAAGAAAUUAUUCGUUUUAAUGAGAAUCAUUUUUUUUUAAAUUCUACGCAAUCAAUUUCAAACAUCUUUAUAAGACUCAUGUUUUUCUUUUAAUUGCUAUAAGUGAAGAAACUGUACUAUUUCUGCAAAUUGUUUGACCUAUUGAGAAUUACUUUAUAAGUAAGUAGAUGUUCUAGCGUUUAUCUAGACCCUGAGUUACGCUUUAACUAAGUUACGCCCUACUAUUUACGCUUUAAUAUUGAUAUAGCACCUUUUAAAAUGUUAAUAUGUCAGAGUAUUUUGUACGAAUAUUUUUUCACUUGAAACUAGUAGUCUAAUAAAGACGAAAAAUUUGUUAUAAUGUAGACAAAAUAAAGUUCUAUCAAAUGCAAAAUACUAACAGCUGAUCGGAACGUCAGCAAAGCCAUGUAUUGAUUGGGACUACCAUCUCUGAUAAUCCUAAAGUGUUGAAUGUCCUGGUGACAGGCAGCAGUAAAUGUAAGCAGAUCAUGGCACGUCAUUGUU
rnacentral:lncRNA from 1 species